UACGUAGGGGGCAAGCGUUAUCCGGAUUUACUGGGUGUAAAGGGAGCGCAGGCGGUAUGGCAAGUCAGAUGUGAAAACCCAGGGCCCAACCCUGGGACUGCAUUUGAAACUGCCAUACUGGAGUGCCGGAGAGGUAAGCGGAAUUCCUAGUGUAGCGGUGAAAUGCGUAGAUAUUAGGAAGAACACCAGUGGCGGAGGCGGCUUACUGGACGGUAACUGACGCUGAGGCUCGAAAGCGUGGGGAGCAAACAGG
rnacentral:rRNA from 1 species